GUGGGUGUUACGUAACUGUCCCGGCGCUGCCGCGGUGUAGGAGUAGAAAACGAAGUGAGGAAAUAAAUGAAAUCGUGAAAUGUGCGGGUCACGCGAAAGCCCGGAGUGUGCGAGUCAGGGACGGCGGGGAAGGCAGGAUGAGCCUGGAAGUGCUCCACAGUCCAGCGCCUUCCACAAGCCAAGGAUUGACCGACCCUCCCGGUAACAAAUGUAAAACCCUCCCGAGUGAGCCGGCCUGGUCACACAGGAGGCGGGUAGCAGUAUUUCUGCACAGUGAGGGACCCAGACACAAAGCUCUCAAGCCUACUGACUGGGGGGACAGAAUCCUUGCAUGGCCUUCAAUUUAAGGAAACUUGGGAGGAUCAGAAUACUUGCAAGGCCCUAAAUUCAAGGAAAUCGAAAACCUCUCUUGAGUAUGAAAGCUCAAGCUUUGGUCAGUUUUAGGUCUCAGCAAACAUAAACAGGACCUCAACCUGCUUGCAGAGAACCACCACUGCUUGUUUUAAUUAGAAUUCAAGUUCUCUCCUAUGCUUGAAGCAGAAGCAGCAGCCUGAUCCUAAAUGGAUUAAACAAAAUGUUUUCUAGAACUCUGGGCUUUGUUUUGUUGGUUUAAGGAUUAAUUAAAGUUCCUUUGAGAGACUUUAAAGCGGCAAUAAAAA